CAUUCUUGGUGCUAGACAAACCUUUAUUUUAAAGAUAUUCGGAGAGUUGAAGAUGAGGUUGACUUAGCUCCAAAAGCAAAAGAAGGAGACCCUUCAAUCUCUUGAUUAGCCAUCACCCUGAGGUCAGUGAUAAGAAAUACAUGGUGACCUCCCACUUGCAGAGCCACUGAAACAUUGGAGGCCAUUUCCAGUGGAGAUCAAUGGGUAACUCUCUUGUCCAAAUCCUUAUGGGCCCUGAUGAUUAGUAGACACUUCAUCUGAUUAGUCACUCUUGUCACCAAAUCCAUCUGCCUGUGUUAGCAUCCCUUGGUUAACCUGGAAUGUCUUUGAAACAUGUGCAUUCUAGCUAGAAUCCUGUAGCCAUUAUUCCAUACACAUUGAUGUGUGGUCCAACCUUCAUUUAAGCACUUCGGACAUGAAAAUAUCUGUUUAAGUAAUCUAAGCCAUUCAUUCAAGGGUUGCUUAUCGAUUAUUAUCACUAGACUGCUCCCAUAUCAAACUCAGUUGACAAUUAGUGAGUUUACAGAACUGUUGAGACUUAAUGGUUUUAAUCGUAACUUAGAAAUAUACUUUUCUAUCAGCUUCCUCUGAGCUAUCUGUAUGAUUGCUUGAUUAAGAACAUCCAUUAGAUGUUUCGAUUCGAUGGUUAAGUAUGAGCUGCCUAAUGCAUAGGUGCUAGGCCUUUUGAGGUUACUGAUUAACUAAAAUUCUGUUCAUAAGAACCUUAUAUUUUGUCUAGUUGGUGGAUUCAGGUUCUUGAAAAUGAGCCGUGGCUGUAAAUUUUAGUGUUGAAAAAAGGUAGAGGAGAACUUAGUGGACAGGAUGCAUGGAGUUCAAGGUAAAUUAAGUGCAUUCCCUGUCAGACAUGAUAUUUGAUUGCAUGCUACCGGUGACAGUUAUGAGAAUGUAGCGUAUUUUGGUGAUCUUUUUCAAGAGAAAUUACACGUUCCGAUUAGAAUUUUCUAAACAUUUCCUUUGUUUCAUUAUAUGUAUGGUAGUCGAAAGAUUUCAAAUAUUUAAAAUAGCAGGAACAAUGUACCAAAUCAUGCACGCUGUGGCUGCUAGUUUCAAACUUCUGUUCCCCUCACCACCCCCAUUUUCCAUAGUGCUAGGUGUACUGUUUCAUAUGCUAUUUUUCAAUAUAUGUUGAGUUUGGCACAACGGCAACAUUGUUCCUCGUUUUUUAAGUUCCGAUAACAGGUAUGAUCCGGUGAUAGGCUGGCCUGCCAAUUUGUGUAAUUGUAUUAUGUUUAUAAUAUUUCCUUAUGCCAUAACUGUAUACAAGAUAUAUAUAUAUAUUCUAGCCAUUUUGUUUGUUACUAUCAUAUUCAUAGUAUUCAUUCAAAUCCUUUGGCAGGUUUAUUGCAUAAAGAGUAAACUUCUCCCCAAAGGGAAACUACAAUGCUCGCUGCACUUGCCGUUGCUGGACGUGGGGAGGCAACAUCGAACAUUCAUAGUGAG